GACGAACCGUGCGAACGUUGUUCGGAAUCACUGGGCUUAAAGGGCGCGUAGACGGACCACCCAGUCCGGGGUGAAAUCUUUCGGCUCAACCGGAAAAGGGCCUUGGAUACUGGUGGUCUGGAGGAAGGUAGGGGCAUGCGGAACUUCCGGUGGAGCGGUGAAAUGCGUUGAUAUCGGAAGGAACGCCGGUGGCGAAAGCGGCGUGCUGGACCUUUUCUGACGCUGAUGCGCGAAAGCCAGGGGAGCGAACGGG
rnacentral:rRNA from 1 species